rnacentral:rRNA from 1 species
AUUUAACGCUGGCGGCAGGCCUAACACAUGCAAGUCGAACGAGUGGCGGACGGGUGAGUAAUGUCUGGGAAACUGCCUGAUGGAGGGGGAUAACUACUGGAAACGUUAGCUAAUACCGCAUACCAUCGAUUGUGCCCAGAUGGGUUUAGCUAGUAGGUGGGGGAACGGCUCACCUAGGCGACGAUCCCUAGCUGGUCUGAGAGGAUGACCAGCCACACUGGAACUGAGACACGGUCCAGACUCCUACGGGAGGCAGCAGUGGGGAAUAUUGCACAAUGGGCGAAAGCCUGAUGCAGCCAUGCCGCGUGUAUGAAGAAGGCCUGCGGGUUGUAAAGUACUUUCAGCGGGGAGGCGUUACCCGCAGAAGAAGCACCGGCUAACUCCGUGCCAGCAGCCGCGGUAAUUC